rnacentral:rRNA from 1 species
GUAGGUGGGCAAGCGUUGUCCCGGAAUUAUUGGGCGUAAAAGCGCGCGCAGGGCGGUCCUUUAAGUCUGAUGUGAAAAGCCCACGGCUCAACCGUGGAGGGUCAUUGGAAACUGGGGGACUUGAGUACAGAAGAGGAAAGCGGAAUUCCAAGUGUAGCGGUGAAAUGCGUAGAGAUUUGGAGGAACACCAGUGGCGAAGGCGGCUUUCUGGUCUGUAACUGACGCUGAGGCGCGAAAGCGUGGGGAGCAAACAGGAUUAGAUACCCUGGUAGUCCACGCCGUAAACGAUGAGUGCUAAGUGUUAGGGGGUUUCCGCCCCUUAGUGCUGCAGCUAACGCAUUAAGCACUCCGCCUGGGGAGUACGGCCGCAAAGGCUG